UGCCCACCCCCAGACUGCAUUACCCUUCGGUCUCCUCGUCUGUCCAGUGGGAGGGUGAGCGGACUCCUACCUCCUGGAGCCCUAGUGAGCAAGUCAGAUAACACCUGUGGAAGCUCUCUGAGUCCUGAUAAAUGUUAUUCCUUCCUCGACUUCCCUGGCUUUAGUGGAGGGCGGGGACCCCAGAGAGAUUAGUCCGGGCACUGGAAGACGGCUCUCCUAGGUCCGAAUGCUGCCCUGUCUUGGUCAGCCCCUCCAGGACUAUCUGUCUUUUGAGGACCUAUCCAUAGACGUGUUAAUGACAGAUUAUUAGGGGAACAAUGAUAUGGAAUGAUGGCAGCAGUAGACCUCUUUGCAUCCACACCCUGUCCCGCGCUGGAGACCCUAAGGACACACAGGAGGUCCAGUGUGGAGGGGAGGGGCGCCUUCCCCCGAGCACCCAAGAAAGGAGCUAUCAGUUCCCACCCACAGCUCUUCAGCCCAUGUGCUACAGGAGAUGCCCGCACACGUGCACAUGUGGGCCUGCCACCUCCCUAACUCCCAGAGGCUCCCCCCACCACCACCCUGGGAGACAGAGUGGUCAGGCCCUGGGAGGGGAGGCCCCCAGACAGACAACUCCUGAGGCCCAGAGAGCGGCAGUGGAGGGAGCUCCAGGUGCCCACAGCCCUGCCUUAGGGACCCCCACCCAGGUCUAGCCUGUCUGCCAGCCAAGCCCUCCCGUGGCUCCUCUCUCCGGCCCUACCCACAUCCCCUGUAGGGAGUCUCCUGAGCGCACCAGCCUCGCACAGUCCUGCAUGAUCCAAAGUUCUACGGAGGAACCAGGGCUCCAGACCAGCUCUACCCCUGACUCGGUUUUCUCUCACAUUUCCUCCUCCUCUGGGCCUGGGGCACUUCAGUGACCUCUCCCAUCCCUGGAGAAUUCACAGAUGCAAACAAGGAGAUCAGAGAGGUUCAGCAGCCUAGAUGGGGUCACACAGCUUUGUAAAUGUUGAGGCUGGCCAGGCGGGCCUGGGAACUUCUGAUGACACCGCACACCUCUCUGUGGACAUCUGAGUACACAGGGCCCCUUUUAGACAUGAACCAGCUGCCCACACCGUCCUCUUCAGGUUACUGGCUGGACCGGCGCCAGGCUUUCGGACACAGGAAAAUGGGCCAAAAGAAGACAGAAACACGGGGUAGCAAGAGGGUAAAGAGGAGGCCAGGGAGGAAGUUCAGCCGGACGCACUCCAUUGCUGGAAGGUCAUUACCAGCUAAACAUCUGGUUGCCAGCACCACAUCUCCCAGGUAUCCUGAGUAGGUCUUUGGACCCUGGAGUUCUGUCCUCCAGUCUCAUGACCCCCUGGGAUGAGGGGCGUGGCUCAUUUUAAGUCUUUCCCAGAACUGGUGUCUGCCUGGUGGCUCCCUCUGGGAGAGGCUCAGACCUGAGUUGGAUUACGUGAGCCUCACAAGGAUCCAGAGGGACGGGGCGAGUGCUGGCGCUCCUACCCUGCAGGACAGCCGUGCACCACCCCUGGGUACAGGGCCCAUGGGAACAGAGUUCUCGCUUAGCCCCUGGGGCCUUGGCUGGAGCAGUGCUGGGUCCCAGAGACACUCACUCAGUUCUUAAGGACUUGCUGACUCCGCACAGAACUGCUGGACAGAACAUCCCCUGGCCGCAGCCCAGGGCUGGCUCCUCCUUCUGCCCCCUGCCUCCUCCCCCCCCCCACGGGAGGCUGAUCUGCACCGCUUGUCCAUCCGUCUGAGUCUAGCUGGAAUGGGUGAGACUACAAAACAGCUCCAGGGAUCAGUGCUCUGGAGAUGCUCUGAGUAGACCGUGGUGGGGAGGAGGGUGCCCCGGUCCAUUCUGCAUGGCUGCCCAGGACAGGGCGGAAAGGAGGGUGGGAUGGAGGCACCAGAAGUAAAAUCUCUCCUAUUUUCUACAGUAUUUACUUAAUCUUAUGAUAAACACUCUUCAGUGAUCAUUCAUCGUGAGGCUCAAGCCGUAGAAAAAGCGCUGAAGACCAUUUUAUUUACCAAGAGACUGUGUACUGGCACUGUGCCAGCUGGACACGGCAGAGCACUGUUCGCAGCGCACCACAGCCCGUCAGUAUCUGCCUGGGGCCUGCCCUGGCUUCCUGGCCUGGAUCCCCAGGCCACUCUCCUCACCAUCCCUCCAGCGAGGCCGCGUGCUGCUCCCUCGGGGCUCCCCCCCACCCCGAGACUGCCUGCCCCGCCAUCUCCUGCUCCACCUCCUCACUCCACUCAGCGCUUUGUUCAGGUCGUUGACUGCCCUGUUUAAACCUGCCCCCAAUGCACACACACUGUAUCCCCUCCCUCCUGACUUCCUGCACCACACACAUCGCCAUCGAAAAGUCUUGAUUUUCUCCUUAUUUCUCGUCUGACUCCUCUACUAGAAUGCAGGCUCUGCGCCGGCAGGCAGUUUUAGCUGUUUCUUUUACCCCUGUGUUUCCAGCACCUAGACUGUUGCCUGGCACAGUCAGUCGAGCCUCCGUAAAUAAUUGUUGAGUGAGUGGAUGAAAUGGUAAUGCAACUGACAAAAACUGGGAGGUGAAAAAGGGUCACACGAGAGGUUCCCAUUCUUUCAUUGUCAAGAGUCAGCAGAGGCGAUGGAGAGUAAAUUAACGAGUGAAGAGAGGUCCAGGCGUGUCGUUUGCCGUGAUAAUGGGGGGUCGGGAAGAAGCUCGGUGCUUAGCGCACGAGGGGCUGGCUUCAAGCCCCAGGACCUCCAUUAGAAAAAUAAAUAAACCUAAUUACCUCCCCCAAAACAAAAACAACUAAUAAAAUUAAAUUUAAAAAAUAAAAAA